CUGCAAGUCGCACGCUAUACUGCAAGUCGAGCGGACAGAUGGGAGCUUGCUCCCGGAUGUUAGCGGCGGACGGNGUGAGUAACACGUGGGUAACCUGCCUGUAAGACUGGGAUAACUCCGGGAAACCGGGGCUAAUACCGGAUGCUUGUUUGAACCGCAUGGUUCAAACAUAAAAGGUGGCUUCGGCUACCACUUACAGAUGGACCCGCGGCGCAUUAGCUAGUUGGUGAGGUAACGGCUCACCAAGGCAACGAUGCGUAGCCGACCUGAGAGGGUGAUCGUCCACAUUGGGACUGAGACACGGCCCAACUCCUACCGGAGGCAGCAGUAGGGAAUCUUCCGCAAUGGACGAAAGUCUGACGGAGCAACGCCGCGUGAGUGAUGAAGGUUUUCGGAUCGUAAAGCUCUGUUGUUAGGGAAGAACAAGUACCGUUCGAAUAGGGCGGUACCUUGACGGUACCUAACCAGAAAGCCACGGCUAACUACGUGCCAGCAGCCGCGGUAAUACGUAGGUGGCAAGCGUUGUCCGGAAUUAUUGGGCGUAAAGGGCUCGCAGGCGGUUUCUUAAGUCUGAUGUGAAAGCCCCCGGCUCAACCGGGGAGGGUCAUUGGAAACUGGGGAACUUGAGUGCAGAAGAGGAGAGUGGAAUUCCACGUGUAGCGGUGAAAUGCGUAGAGAUGUGGAGGAACACCAGUGGCGAAGGCGACUCUCUGGUCUGUAACUGACGCUGAGGAGCGAAAGCGUGGGGAGCGAACAGGAUUAGAUACCCUGGUAGUCCACGCCGUAAACGAUGAGUGCUAAGUGUUAGGGGGUUUCCGCCCCUUAGUGCUGCAGCUAACGCAUUAAGCACUCCGCCUGGGGAGUACGGUCGCAAGACUGAAACUCAAAGGAAUUGACGGGGGCCCGCACAAGCGGUGGAGCAUGUGGUUUAAUUCGAAGCAACGCGAAGAACCUUACCAGGUCUUGACAUCCUCUGACAAUCCUAGAGAUAGG
rnacentral:rRNA from 1 species